GGCAGAGCCAGGUUAGCCCCCCAUAUGUAUGAAACCUGCCAUUACAGAGUGGAGAGACCCAGGAGCAGCUAGAACAGGAUGGGCAAGCAGAAGAACAUGGUUUUCUUGUGAAGAAAGAAAUGAAGGUAUUGAAGAAGCUAGUUAUAAACGCUGCUACUGACUAAAAGAUCUGAGCAUACAACUGAAUACAUUCCAACCCUGUCCUUUACACAAAUAAAGGAAAUCAAAUAUAAAAACA